rnacentral:rRNA from 1 species
GGACCCCACUGCUAUCGGGAUAGGACUAAGACAUGCUAGUCGAGCGCGUCAGCCAAAACGACGCGCGGCAUACAGCUCAGUAACACGUGGCUAAUCUGCCCUUGGGACGAGAACAAACCCGGGAAACUGGGGCUAAUUCUCGAUAGAUGAAGAACUCUGGAAUGAGUCUUUAUCAAAAAAGAUUUACGUUAUGCUCGUGAAUCCGCCCAAGGAUGAGGCCGCGACCGAUCAGGUUGUUGGUGAGGUAACGGCUCACCAAGCCUUUUACCGGUGCGGGCCGUGGGAGCGGGAGCCCGGAGAUGGGUACUGAGACAAGGACCCAGGCCCUACGGGGCGCAGCAGUCGCGAAACCUUUGCAAUACACGCAAGUGUGACAGGGCUAUCCCGAGUGCCAUCCGCUGAGGAAGGCUUUUACCCAGUAUAGAAAGCUGGGGGAAUAAGGAGAGGGCAAGUCUGGUGUCAGCCGCCGCGGUAAUACCAGCUCUCCGAGUGGUGUGGAUGUUUAUUGGGCCUAAAGCAUCCGUAGCUGGCUAAGUUAGUCCUUUGUUAAAUCCACCGAAUUAAUCGUUGGGUUGCGAGGGAUACUGCUUGGCUAGGGGACGAGAGAGGCAGACGGUAUUUUCGGGGUAGGGGUGAAAUCCUAUAAUCCCGGGAAGACCACCAGUGGCGAAGGCUGUCUGCUAGAACGCGCCCGACGGUGAGGGAUGAAAGCUGGGGUAGCGAACCGGAUUAGAUACCCGGGUAGUCCCAGCUGUAAACGAUGCAGGCUAGGUGUUUGGACGGCCACGUGCCGUUCUAGUGCCGCAGGGAAGCUGUUAAGCCUGCCGCCUGGGGAGUACGAUCGCAAGAUUGAAACUUAAAGGAAUUGGCGGGGGAGCACCACAAGGGGUGAAGCUUGCGGUUUAAUUGGAGUCAACGCCGGAAAUCUCACCGGGAGCGACAGCAGUGUGAAGGCCAGAUUAAAGGUCUUGCCAGACGAGCUGAGAGGAGGUGCAUGGCCGUCGCCAGUUCGUGCCGUGAGGUGUCCU